rnacentral:lncRNA from 1 species
AUCAUUUAUGUUCAAAUAUAUCUGCUAUAUCAUUUCUGUAUAAUCUGUAAGUGGUUGUGUAAUUGAGCCAUUCGACAACUGUUAAUUAUGUGCGACUUAAUCGAUUGAGGCAGUCUUUAAUCGAUUAACUGGAUGAUUUUCCAGAAUAGGGCUUUGGUGCAAAUAGCGGUAAGUGGAAACCACGACACCUAUUCAACCCCCC